rnacentral:tRNA from 1 species
GGCUCUGUAGCUCAGAUGGUUAGAGUGGGAGACUCAUAAAUUCCAGGUCGUAGGUUCAAUUCCAACCAGAGCCAUCA